rnacentral:rRNA from 1 species
UACAGAGGUCUCAAGCGUUUGUUCGGAUUCAUUGGGCGUAAAGGGCGCGUAGGCGGCCAUGCGUGUCUUCCGUGAAAUCCCUCGGCUUAACUGAGGACGUGCGGAAGAAACUGCAAGGCUUGAGUCCGGGAGAGGGGGGUGGAAUUCCCAGUGUAGCGGUGAAAUGCGUAGAUAUCGUAAGGAAGACCAGUGGCGAAGGCGGGUCUCUGGGACAGUUCCUGACGCUGGGGCACGAAGGUCAGGGGAGCAAACGGG